rnacentral:rRNA from 1 species
GGGAACUGCCCCAAAGUGAGGGAUAAGCACCAGAAAUGGUGUCUAAUACCGCAUAUGGUCUUCGGAUUAAAGGAUUUAUCCGCUUUGGGAGCGGCCCGCGUNUGAUUAGAUUGUUGGUGAGGUGAAGGCUCACCAAGUCGACGAUCAAUAGCUGGUCUGAGAGGAUGAUCAGCCAGACUGGAACUGAGACACGGUCCAGACUCCUACGGGAGGCAGCAGUAAGGAAUCUUCCACAAUGGGCGAAAGCCUGAUGGAGCAACGCCGCGUGAAGGAUGAAGGCCCUCGGGUCGUAAACUUCUUUUAUGAGUGAAGAAUAUGACGGUAACUCAUGAAUAAGCACCGGCUAACUACGUGCCAGCAGCCGCGGUCAUACGUAGGGUGCAAGCAUUAUCCGGAGUGACUGGGCGUAAAGAGUUGCGUAGGCGGUUAGUAAAGCGAAUAGUGAAACCUGGUGGCUCAACCAUACAGACUAUUAUUCGAACUCACUAACUCGAGAAUGGUAGAGGUAACUGGAAUUUCUUGUUGUAGGAGUGAAAUCCGUAGAUAUAAGAAGGAACACCAAUGGCGUAGCAGGUUACUGGACCAUUUCUGACGCUAAGGCACGAAAGCGUUGGGGAGCGAACCGGAUUAAAUACCCGGGUAGUCCACGCCGUAAACUAUGGAUACUAGCUGUAGGGGGUAUCGACCCCUUCUGUAGCGAAGCUACCC